UACGGGGGGGGCAAGCGUUGUUCGGAAUUACUGGGCGUAAAGGGCGCGUAGGCGGCCCGCUAAGUCGGACGUGAAAUCCCUCGGCUCAACCGAGGAACUGCGUCCGAUACUGGCAGGCUGGAAUCCGGGAGAGGGAUGUGGAAUUCCAGGUGUAGCGGUGAAAUGCGUAGAUAUCGGGAGGAACACCUAUGGCGAAGGCAGCUCGCUGGGACGUUACUGACGCUGAGACGCGAAAGCGUGGGGAGCAAACAGG
rnacentral:rRNA from 1 species